rnacentral:tRNA from 1 species
GGAAGAUAGCGCUAGUGGUAGCAAACUGGAUUUGAACUCCGGGCCAUCGGUAACGGUGAGGGUUCGACUCCUUUAUCUUCCGCC